UGGGGAAUAUUGGACAAUGGGCGAAAGCCUGAUCCAGCCAUGCCGCGUGUGUGAAGAAGGUCUUCGGAUUGUAAAGCACUUUAAGUUGGGAGGAAGGGCAGUAAGCGAAUACCUUGCUGUUUUGACGUUACCGACAGAAUAAGCACCGGCUAACUCUGUGCCAGCAGCCGCGGUAAUACAGAGGGUGCAAGCGUUAAUCGGAAUUACUGGGCGUAAAGCGCGCGUAGGUGGUUCGUUAAGUUGAAUGUGAAAGCCCCGGGCUCAACCUGGGAACUGCAUCAAAAACAGGCGAGCUAGAGUAGGGCAGAGGGUGGUGGAAUUUCCUGUGUAGCGGUGAAAUGCGUAGAUAUAGGAAGGAACACCAGUGGAGAAGGCGACCACCUGGGCUCAUACUGACACUGAGGUGCGAAAGCGUGGGGAGCAAACAGG
rnacentral:rRNA from 1 species